rnacentral:misc_RNA from 1 species
GAAAUGCGAUAAGUAGUGUGAAUUGCAGAAUUUAGCGAAUCAUCGAAUCUUUGAACGCACAUUGCGCCCCUUGGUAUUCCAUGGGGCAUGCCUGUUCGAGCGUCAUUUCAACCCUCAAGCACUGCUUGGUGUUGGGCGUUUGUCCCGCCUACGCGCGUGGACUCGCCUCAAAGUCAUUGGCGGCUGUUCCCCUUCGGCUCGUAAGCGCAGCACAGUCGGCGCCCGGAGCUCUGGUGGGAUGGCGUCCAGCAAUCUAUAUUUUCAGGCUUGACCUCGGAUCAGGUAGGGAUACCCGCUGAACUUAAGC